GAGUGUUUCAAGCAUGGUAGUGUGCACAGAGAUUGAACAAACAAGGUCCUCAUGUCUACUCGCAUUGAAUCCUUUGUGGUUAUGAUUUGUGGGCCUGGAGCCGACCUACAUUC